GGUUAAUCGUAAUGUGGAAUCUUCCUCCCUCAGGUCAUUAUUUCAGGAACGAGGUGAAAACUCGACAGUGGCGGCGGCGGUAGGGUGCGCCGGCAGCGUGAACCAUGGCGCCUCCUCCUCCCACAACGAAAUGAAAUGUAGCCAGAAAUCACUGUAUUAGCAGCAGAAAUGGGGCCGAGCGGUCGGCGUACUUCGCCAGGAGAGAGGCGGCGGGGGUACUGCGGCGGGUGCUCCAGGACGACGCCGCCUGCCACGCCACGGCUUCAUUAAAUCCUUCGUUGACUCUCCCUCUGUGCACGAUACUUGUCUGCCAAACCCUCAAGAAAUAGCAAUGACUGGCGCAGUUGAGAAAUUUCUUACCCUUCACAAAAAUAAGCUAGAAUAUGAUUUGUCAAAGAUUUGUGCAAGACAGAUAGUCAAGAAGAUUGAAGAUUUACUCCAAAAUAAUUGUGCUCCUGGGACUUAAGAAUGCAAGAAGUCGAACAGAAGAUGCGGCGGACGAGAAAGAUGACAUGGGAAUCGAGUCGACCUGUUUGGUGCAUCCAAGGGACGAGAAGUUGCGGAAGAGUAUGCCAGUGGAGCGAGAAGGACGCGCGUGACACUUAUGAGGGACGAGAAGCCGGAGCAGAAAUCUGCUUGAGGAGAAGGUCAGAGUUGGGUUUGGGCGAGCUCAAUUCUGAAAGGUCGGAGCAUCACCCAAACGAUCAGAGCGGACAGUCGGACAAAAAGUCAACUCUAAAGUUGACACUUAUCAAGGCACCCGAAGCUAGUCCGGGCACUAGGCAGUUUGGUGCCGAAGAGGCGUCUGUUGCUGUGGAUCAUCACUGAGGCCAUGUCAGCAGAGGUCCGAGCGCCCGGAGAAGGUCCGGGCAUCGGUAGUGGAUAAAUUCUUAUCACUUCACCGUUGUAUAGCCUUUGUGUGAAGAUAGAAUUUGGUUCGCUAGGGGCGCCCGGAGAGGGUCUAAGCAUCCGGACUGUGCCACGUCAGCAAACAAUCACCUCGACCAGUGAGCCUAUAAAAGGAGCCCUGGUGCUCUUCAUUUGAACAUCACUUUCUGUAUUCAAGUUAUUUCACUCUGUUCUUUAAAGUCUGAGAGUCAACGCCCUGCACGAGGUUUUUCCGCCCCCGACUUGUGUCAAAGAAGUCGAUUAGUUGAGCUUUAUUUGCCUUGGAUUAGCAACCUUUCCGGUUGCAAACCAAGUAAAUCGUUUGUAUCUUGUACUUAUUUUAUGCAUUUUAGUUUCUUUUUAUCAAAGUCGUAAGUUUCAAAAAGGGUAUACUUGUUUGUUUAGGAAAAUUGACCCUCCUCUUGCCGGUCGCACGGGACCUACAUAGUAUAACUCUGAAACCUUGCUUACUUUGGCAAAUAGGUUAGUGAAUGGAUGAAAAGAAAGGUGAAUUCCAUUUUUCUAUCCUUCCUACUAUUUAUGUGGCGGGAUAGAUUGUAGAGGAAGGAAACUGGGCAGAUCAAGCCCCUACUUCAUUUCCCUUGUCGCAUCCUCUGAAAUUGGUUGGAAGAACAGAUGGACACAUCCUUCUUUUUUGCCCCAAAAUGCCUUCUGGUUCUUCAUCUCCAUCAUUCUCAUUCCAUUCUUUGCCAUCUGCUGUCUCACCCGUCACACACAGGAAUAAUACAUGGGCUUUGGUUACCUCAUGCUAGCCAUACACACUUCGAGUUAUUGGCACUCUGGAGAAGAUGAAGAGCAAGAAAGGGCUUCCUUCUCUACUGCAGUAGUUCACAGCAGUCCUCUGCAAGUCUGGUUAGUAGUUGGGUUGUGAGGGGCAUAUAGGUGCUUGCUUUGGUAGAACAUGAACCUGCGCAUGCUAUCAGGUUGAAGGGUGACAGAAGCAAGAGUUAUGUGCAUGUAAAUGUUGACUAAGAAGUUGAUAUUGUCAAGAGUGUUGGAAUACAAGGCCAGCAUGCAGAUACAUUCCUCAUUUUUGAUCUCGCUGACAAAGGCAACUCGCUCAUCUAGCCAAGCCAUAAUGAUGGUGAUGUAGAUUGAGAUGCCAUUGGGGACCUUGAUGAAACCAGACACUUCAGCCACUGACAGCUGAGACAGUGGUCAUGAAGUCAAUGAGCCUCUCCCAGUCUCACAAUGAGGUCUUGUUCAAGAUCGCUGCAGUCUGAGUUGUGAAGAAGAGAUCCAAAGCAAAGGGAUGAUUAGUGGUAGGCUAAUUUGGUGAUCAAUUUAGAAUUAGUUAAAUAUAAAUUGUAGCAAUUAAAUAGUUAAUUGAAUUAAAUUUUGUGAUUUUAUUAUUGGACAAAACAAUAUGUUGCCGGAGAUUUUGGGAAUUAGCUGAAUUUAAAUACACAAAAUUAAAUUUAACUUAUCUGUCGAGAUGACAUGAGCAGAUAAUCUCACGUUGCCAGCAGGGGUUGUUUCUAUCAAGUGCUAAACGCAGAUGAGUGACCGACCAGGCGAGCGAGCAGUCGGACGGGCGAGUCGCAGACCAAGUGAUCGGCCGGCAGAGCGAGUAAGUGAACAAUCGGCUGAGCGAGAUGCGGUCGAACGGGCGUGCGACUGAACGAAUGUAGAGGUCGAGUGAGCUGCGGCCGGACGGGCGAGUAGCCGAGCAAAGAAGAGGACAGGUGAGCGAACGACCGAGCGAAUGAGCGAAUGGCUGAGCGGACCAAGAGUCUAAGCAGGUUUGUGACCGGACGAGUGAGCAGCCAAGCGAGCGGCCGAGCAGACCGAGCAAGCGAACUGAGCGACCGGACGGGCGUGCAGUCGACUGGACGAAAAUGCUGAUCGAGUUAGCGGCUGAGCGAACGCAGAGGCCGACCGAGUUAGCAUUCGAGCAAACGCAAAGUUCGAGCGGGCGAAUGGACUGAUGCAUGCAAGGGUCGCAGUUUCUUGAAACAAAUUCACCUCACCUCCGACUGUACUUCGAGAUUUCCUCGGGUCAUCUGUUUCCCAGAAUACAGCAGUGAACCCUGAUUCCCAUCAAACACUAAUAGUCAUGGCGAACUAAGAGGUACCCGACUGCUAUCACGGACACUCAGCCGAGCAAGAGAUGCACGACAGAGGAGAAGGGGAACAUAGGUAGAGAGCUUCAAUUUUUUGAGCGUGUAACCUUUUGCCUGUGGACGCAGUCUCCUUAUAUAGGAGCUAAAACCAAUGGACAACGUUAAUGAUUGUUUAAUGAUCAUUGUUCGCCAGCUGUGAAAUGCCAACGUUUCACUCGGCUGCAUUAAUUUUUAAUUUAAUGCAUCCGUUACUAUACCCUUAAAUAAGCAGAAAAAAAUUUAUGUGGUAAAAUGUUGGUUAUUCCACUUGGGUAAAUUUUAUCCAGACUGGUCCGACAUUUGGUGUGCUCACACACGAGUCAAUAUGAUUCAGUGCAAUCCAGACCCUGGAUUUGUACUACUUGUGCACCCAUGCGUGAGAGAGAUUCUCCCCAUGCAUUUGUUCACAUCAUCAAUGCAUGUGAAUCAAUAUAAACCAAAUAAUAUGCCUUGAAACUUCAAUGUAGGACUAACGUCUUAUUCACAAUGGAACUUCAUGCUUUUUCCAUCUCUUCUUCAUUUACAUAUAUCCAACAUAAUUAUGUUGUAUAAUCAACAUAUGUUAAAGCAUGAAUUUGGAUGGGCUUUGCUUAAUUUAGUCCUUUACCACUUAUAAUUUUUUUUUUUUCAUUAAAUUGGUUUUUUAGUAAUUGAAUUAGAAACAAAUUAAUUCAUCUUUUUCUUUAAUGUGAGUCAACAUGAAUUCAUAUAUAUUUGCGUCGAGUGUCAACACAACACAAUAGCCAUUGGCGCAAGCGACACGAGAGAUUACAGUGUUGAUCAUCGGAAUUAGGAAUGCCUAAUAUGGUACGAGAUUUCAAGCUUUGGCGCACACACAUAACGAAUAUUAUACUAUAUAUCUUAUCUGAUGCGAGUAGCUAACACAGGUUUGAAUCUAGUUGUCCACAAUCUUAUUUUACAUUUAACUUUUUAUGUUUUUGCAUAUGAAUGGGUGUAUUUGCAUUUGAGUUUAGUGUCACAUAGAGGGUUGUGCCUAAUGUAUGGAGGGAAAAUGAAGUCUGAUUUUUAGAGGCUCCAUCUAGUUGUAAUGCUAACAAAAGAUGAGAGGAUUCAACUACUAAUCUUACGGUCUCUUCAAGUUUCCUAGUUGUGCUUUAAUUCUAUUACUCGUGCACACUAAGAAUCAUAUGAAUUAGUAUAUUAGACAAAGAGUUUUUAUAUCCAAGAUAGAUCAUCUCAUAGAUUGAUGAUGGAACAGCGUCAGUCAUACAUUAUCAAUGACUCAGAGCUGGCUUUACUAGUGAGACAUGACUUUCCUCCUAACAAAUUUCGUGUCUAUUUGCACAUUUAUCAUGUGAUUUCCUUUCGUUUAACUAAAAUAUAUGGUCAUCGGUUAAGAAAAAAACUUUAGCAUACCAUUUAUUUGAAAGGGUAAAAUAAAAAAGAGAGGGUGGAUUAAAAAAAAAAGAGUAGAUUUGUAAGCUUAUCAGCAUUGCUGAUGUAGUUCUUUCCUGAACCUAUAUACUGGUUAUGGCCACUGGUAGUUUCUUGUUCCAGUACCAUUUUCUUUCAGGUUGGUUGAGAGAUGACUUUUUUUUUAACAGUUCCUGCAGUUGAAAGAGUAGUAUGCAACACAUGCUCAGUUUACCAAACAGAGAAUGAAGAUGUGAUUAAAAUCAGUCCUCCCUUUUGCAAAGUCGCUCAACUUUGAAUCGGUGUCUCCUUUCCCACAGUGGCCUCACCGCGGUCUGCCCAACUUUGAUGGUGCUGAGCACUUGUUAAGGACUGAUCCAAAAGAAGAUACACAAGGAUUCUUUACUGCAUUGUUUGUCAAGAAAUCUGGGAAAACAAACAGAGGGAACAGGCUAUCUUCAGCCAACAAGCUUACGAGACAGAAUAAAUACAUGCCUUAUUCCUUUUGUAAACUAUCGGCAUUUUGGUUCCAUAAACGAUUGACGAAGCAAGAAUCUAAGAAAAUAAAGCAUCGAAUGGUAGUUGGACUACCAUGCUCAAAUCCUGA